AGUGAACGCUGGCGGUAGGCCUAACACAUGCAAGUCGAACGGCAGCACAGUAAGAGCUUGCUCUUACGGGUGGCGAGUGGCGGACGGGUGAGGAAUACAUCGGAAUCUACUUUUUCGUGGGGGAUAACGUAGGGAAACUUACGCUAAUACCGCAUACGACCUACGGGUGAAAGCAGGGGAUCUUCGGACCUUGCGCGAUUGAAUGAGCCGAUGUCGGAUUAGCUAGUUGGCGGGGUAAAGGCCCACCAAGGCGACGAUCCGUAGCCGGUCUGAGAGGAUGAUCAGCCACACUGGAACUGAGACACGGUCCAGACUUCUACGGGAGGCAGCAGUGGGGAAUAUUGGACAAUGGGCGCAAGCCUGAUCCAGCCAUACCGCGUGGGUGAAGAAGGCCUUCGGGUUGUAAAGCCCUUUUGUUGGGAAAGAAAAGCAGCAGGUUAAUACCCCGCUGUUCUGACGGUACCCAAAGAAUAAGCACCGGCUAACUUCGUG
rnacentral:rRNA from 1 species